UACAGAGGUCCCAAGCGUUGUUCGGAUUCACUGGGCGUAAAGGGUGCGUAGGUGGUUAGGUAAGUCUGAUGUGAAAUCUCCGGGCUCAACCCGGAAAUGGCAUUGGAAACUAUUUGACUAGAGGAGUGGAGGGGGGGGACUGGAAUACUUGGUGUAGCAGUGAAAUGCGUAGAUAUCAAGUGGAACACCAGUGGCGAAGGCGGUUCUCUGGGCAUUACCUGACGCUGAGGAGCGAAAGCAUGGGGAGCGAACAGG
rnacentral:rRNA from 1 species